rnacentral:rRNA from 1 species
UAGGGAAUCUUCCGCAAUGGGCGAAAGCCUGACGGAGCAACGCCGCGUGAGUGAAGAAGGAUUUCGGUUCGUAAAGCUCUGUUGUUAGGGAAGAAUGAUUGUGUAGUAACUAUACAUAGUAGAGACGGUACCUAACCAGAAAGCCACGGCUAACUACGUGCCAGCAGCCGCGGUAAUACGUAGGUGGCAAGCGUUGUCCGGAAUUAUUGGGCGUAAAGCGCGCGCAGGUGGUUUAAUAAGUCUGAUGUGAAAGCCCACGGCUCAACCGUGGAGGGUCAUUGGAAACUGUUAAACUUGAGUGCAGGAGAGAAAAGUGGAAUUCCUAGUGUAGCGGUGAAAUGCGUAGAGAUUAGGAGGAACACCAGUGGCGAAGGCGGCUUUUUGGCCUGUAACUGACACUGAGGCGCGAAAGCGUGGGGAGCAAACAGGAUUAGAUACCCUGGUAGUCCACGCCGUAACGAUGAGUGCUAAGUGUUGGUCUCAUAAGAGAUCAGUGCUGCAGCUAACGCAUUAAGCACUCCGCCUGGGGAGUACGACCGCAAGGUU